rnacentral:rRNA from 1 species
CUGGCUCAGAACGAACGCUGGCGGCAGGCCUAACACAUGCAAGUCGAGCGAGGA